rnacentral:lncRNA from 1 species
GGAGGAGGAAAUAAAUAAAUAAAACAAUCACCUCCGCGCCAAUAAGAGCGAGGGAGAGAGCAAGACGCGACCAGAGAGCCACCGGGGCCCGCUCGCGCGCCUCUGAGAGGCUGUCCGCGCGCGCGCGUGUGUGCGUGAGUGUGGAUUUGCCGGGACUGGAGCUGGAAAGUUCAAACUAAACGUGUUGCUCUCGCCGAGUGCCGAGGCCGCGGCGGAGGCUGCCCAACUUCCCCGGGCCAAGUGAGUGGCGUUGCCCAGCGCCUUUGGCGAGGCGGCGGCCGCUCGGCCCUGCGCCCGGCCGCGGCGGCGGCGGCUCCGCUCGCCCCGGGAGGGAGCCCGCGGCCAGGGCUGGACUCUCGCCCCGCCACCUCCACCGACUCUCUCCUCAGCCUCCGCGCCUGGCACCGCAGCAAGGCUUGAAUGAAGUGAUCAUGUAAACUAGAGAAAGGAGAUUAAAAAUAACCUCUGGAUAUUCCUCUCAUGUGAUCUUUAUUCUGGAUGAAGCAUUAGGACAGCUAAUAGCCGUGUGUCACUGUGCAUACAAUUGAUUUAAUUCAGAUCUUGUUUUUAAUAUGUAUUCACCAUUGGACAAUGCAUGGUUUCUUUAAAUUUAAUUCAGUUGGAACCUGACGGAUGACUUCGGCCUGCUGGCAUGCUCUUUUCGUUUUACCGUUCCGUGCGUGCUCCAUUCCCCAUAGCCAUCAUCUUGAUUUUGUGUUUAUCAAUCCAUUGCUUUUUUAUAAUUUUCCUGGAUAUACAUAUUUAUCUAAAAAAUAUAACGUUUACAUUUGCUUAUUUUGAAAUUUAUUAGAAAAUAUUAUUCUGCAUGUAAACUUUAGAGUCAUUUUUUUGCCCAAUAUUUCGUUCCUCAUAUUUAAUCAUAUUAUUACAGAUAGCUGUAAUUGUUAUUGUUUAACACUUCGCUGUGGGAAAAUGAAACAGUCUAUCUAUUCUCCUGUCCAUGGCGUAUGAUUCCUUCUUGAUAUUAUGAUCAGUGCUGGUUUGAAUAUUUUUAUGUCUUCUAGUGUGUAUGUAAUCAACU